rnacentral:rRNA from 1 species
CUACGGGCGGCUGCAGUGAGGAAUUUUGCGCAAUGGGGGGAACCCUGACGCAGCAACGCCGCGUGAGUGAUGAAGGCUUUCGGGUCGUAAAGCUCUGUCAAGUGGGAAGAACCUAUGCAGUGUUAAUAUCACUGUAUACUGACGGUACCACUGAAGGAAGCACCGGCUAACUCCGUGCCAGCAGCUGCGGUAAUACGGGGGGUGCAAGCGUUAUUCGGAAUCGUUGGGCGUAAAGGGCACGUAGGCGGCUUGGUAAGUCAGAUGUGAAAGCCCGGGGCUUAACCCCGGAAGUGCAUUUGGUACUGUCAGGCUUGAGUAUGGGAGAGGGAAGUGGAAUUCCUGGUGUAGAGGUGAAAUUCGUAGAUAUCAGGAGGAACACCGGUGGCGAAGGCGACUUCCUGGACCAAUACUGACGCUGAGGUGCGAAGGCGUGGGUAGCAAACAGGAUUAGAUACCCUAGUAGUC